AACGUCCUACAACAUAUCUUAAGUCACUGGAUACGUUGUCGAAGAGAAGUACUAUUCGGAUAAUAAAUCCAAACCAAUUGUGGAACGCAAAGAAAUCAUUUAUUCCACCAAUCCUGAAGAGCUGCAGGCCAUCAAGGAAAAGGUCAGAGAGACAGCAACAACGACAACAACAUUGAAAUCCCUCAAGCAUGACAAAUUGGAGUCGGAUGAUGAAUCACCGUUCAGAGAUAAUUCAACGUAUAAAACAAAAACCAUAACGUCGGUGCGUUCAAGUCCAGAGGAAUUUCUAGAGUCAUCAACAACGAAAUAUGUCCGUCGUGGUUCGGUCAAGGAAAUGAGUGAAAAAUUCUUACAAAAAGAAUCCGCAUCAAUGGUAUCGGAAAAGACAAAUAAUUACCCAAAAGCCGGCCUGAUACUGCGCACAAAUUCACGCAAACAAAGCCGAGACAACGAUGAUAUGGAUGGUGAGA
rnacentral:sRNA from 1 species